UACGAAGGGGGCUAGCGUUGCUCGGAAUUACUGGGCGUAAAGCGCGCGCAGGUGGUUCCUUAAGUCUGAUGUGAAAGCCCACGGCUCAACCGUGGAGGGUCAUUGGAAACUGGGGGACUUGAGUACAGAAGAGAAGAGUGGAAUUCCACGUGUAGCGGUGAAAUGCGUAGAGAUGUGGAGGAACACCAGUGGCGAAGGCGACUCUUUGGUCUGUAACUGACGCUGAGGCGCGAAAGCGUGGGGAGCAAACAGG
rnacentral:rRNA from 1 species